CCGCACAAGCGGUGGAGCAUGGGGUUUAAUUGGAAGCAACGCGCAGAAACCUUACCAACCCUUGACAUAUUCGUCGCGGAUCCAGAGAUGGAUCUUUCAUUUAGUUGGAGGAUGUACAGGUGCUGCAGGGCUGUCGUCAGCUCGUGUCGUGAGAUGUUCGGUUAAGUCCGGCAACGAGCGCAACCCACAUCUUUAGUUGCCAGCAGUUCGGCUGGGCACUCUAAAGAAACUGCCCGUGAUAAGCGGGAGGAAGGUGUGGAUGACGUCAAGUCCUCAUGGCCCUUACGGGUUGGGCUGCACAUGUGCUACAAUGGCAUCUACAGUGGGUUAAUCCCCAAAAGAUGUCUCAGUUCGGAUUGGGGUCUGCAACUCGACCCCAUGAAGUCGGAAUCGCUAGUAAUCGCGUAACAGCAUGACGCGGUGAAUACGUUCCCGGGCCUUGUACACACCGCCCGU
rnacentral:rRNA from 1 species